AUACGGAGGGUGCAAGCGUUAAUCGGAAUUACUGGGCGUAAAGCGCGCGUAGGCGGAUAUUUAAGUCUCAUGUGAAAGCCCUGGGCUCAACCUGGGAACUGCAUGGGAUACUGGGUAUCUAGAAUACAGUAGAGGGUAGUGGAAUUUCAGGUGUAGCGGUGAAAUGCGUAGAGAUCUGAAGGAACAUCAGUGGCGAAGGCGACUACCUGGACUAAUAUUGACGCUGAGGUGCGAAAGCGUGGGGAGCAAACGGGAUUAGAAACCCGAGUAGUCC
rnacentral:rRNA from 1 species